UUCUGAGCCCCUGAAACGUAACAGUGAUUUGGGUCUCUGAAAGCCCAAAACUGCCUGAUUCGGUCUCAGUUCCAAGGCCCCAAACCCAGCACUGAGUCCGGUUCUGAGCCCCUCAAACCCAGUGCCUGGGAUGAUUACAAUUCAUUAUUUGUGUAUCUCUUCCUCUAAUUGCUAAAGUAGGAGGGAAGAUCUAACAGGCCUUCCUUUAACAGAUUUUCUCACUUCAAAAUCUAUACAGAAAUUACAGUUUACAUGUCCCUUUGUCUUCUGAAGUAUUUAUUAAUUCUUCUAUUUUUCACAUUACUGAUUUGAACAGAACAAACUCAGUAUUUUCUAUUUGACCUCAAGAAGUAAUGAAAUAUGUUUUAAUGUAGAAAUAUUGUCUGAGUAAUUUAAAUUGGUGAAACACAGAUUGGUGUUUGCCCACCUCCUCCUGCCAUUCCCUCACGGGGAGCAGUGGCUGGUGCUGCUGGAUCGUUCCCGGAGCGGGGCUGGGGUGAUGAUUAAACAGGGAAUUGGCACCAGUGCUGCUCCCCGAGACUUCAGUGCUGCCUGGUUUGGGCAAGAUGGGAACCUGGCUUCCAGACUCCUGGAAUUUCAGAAGCCUUUGGCAAGAUGAGAGGCCAGUACACCCACGUGUUCCAAAAAGGAGGCUGUGAGGAAUUUGCCCAUGCCCUGCCACUGGUGAGACAUUUCUUGGGCGCUGGGGGUUGUUACAGCACAGCCUGGAAGCAAAAGUGGUGGCAGAACUUGUCUUUCCUAAGACUGAGCUACCAUGAACAGGGGAACUGUGACUGAGUGGCCAAAAUCCCUGAGAGCCUCAGGGGUGGCAGCAGUGGAUUUCCACGUGCCUCCAGCCAGGAAUUGGGAACCUUGGCUGAGCACAGAGCGCUGAAGGGGCCGCAGACGGAGCCUCGAGACUUCUGUGCACACGUGAGCAGUGCCUGGGAAAAGCUUGGGGUUUGCACCUUCCCCAGAGGCCUGGCAGGAGGAAUUGUGCCUGGUGUCAGGCACUUUGCAGAUCCCACGUUCUCCGUGGGGAUCAGUGUGCUCUGACAGGGGUGGAGCUGCUGCAGCUCCACGGGACAGCGACACAGAGCAGCCCCAGCACAGGCAGAGGGCUCUGCAGUGCUGCCAGGCUGAUGGGGAGCAGCCUCUGUGCCCCUCACAAUCACAUUUACACUCAUUCUGCAUGGAUGGGGACUGGUGACAAUUCCCUGAGUUCCAGUUGGGAAGAGAGAGUUUUGUGUCCUUUUAUUUUCAGUGCUGUGGGUGUGCCUGCCCUGCUGACACGCCUUAGAUCCAUCCCAGUCCCUUCCAUUUCAGUUCCAGGAGAUCCCUGUGCAAUGAAAAUGUACAGUAGUGUGCCAGGACUAAACGAAAGAGUCAGUGGAAAAGACUCAGAGGAAAAUACUUCAGAAAACAAAGCUUGAGACCGCCCUGACAGAAGUGGCUGGAAGAUCUCCAGUAGCAUAACUCUGUAACAUGAAAAUGCCUUCAAGCUGAGAACACAAAUGCUUUACACAGAGAUGUCCCCUGUGGUUUACACAGAUCCCUGAGGUUCAUGCCAAGAUCCUUCUACCACCCUGAAAGGUGUGCAACCAGCAACCAACUUAUAAACUCCAAAAUCCUACUUAAAAGAAGGGAUCAUCAUGUUCCUUCCUCUCUGUCAGAAUGGAUAAAGACUGACCAGAAAACCCUCAGUGAUACUAAAUAGUUUUUAAAAAAUCAGAUUUUGGUUCUGCUACAUUCCUGUAAUCACUGCAUUUUAUUUAACUUUUUUUAAAUCUCACAUAUAACACUGGGAUGGAUGUACUAAGACCAUCUCCAUAUAAAUACAUUGUGCUUUGCCUAUGAACACUAAAUACAUUUUGCAGUAGUUUAAAAAUAAUUCUUUUGAGGCUUAUUGCAGUUCUUAAUACAAAUGUAGAUACAAAAUUUGAAGUGUCAUUUCUUGUAUCUGUGUGUUAUCAUAAUGCUGCCUCAAGCCCUUUUUUAAAAAGGCAUCUACUUGGGUUUAAAAAGAGUAUAUUUGAGGUCAUUAGCAAAGAAAAUUGCCAGCACUAAUUCUGAUCUACCACUGGUUUGGACAAAAAGAACAAACUGAAACUUAAAAGGAAACCCAACAAUUAAUUGUGUUUUAUGAAUAUGUGUGCAAAAUCGUUGUUACAAUCAAAUAAAAUGCUGAUAUGUGCCAGACACCUUGAA